UGAGAUUUCUCCACAUACACCUCUUGUAAACUGUGUUGGCCCUAAACCGAUUAUUCUGCCCCCUAGUUGUGGAUUGUCUCAACCUUCAUUCACUCCGAACAUAAACAAAUGGCCCAAACUAAUCGAACAUACCUUUUAUGGAAAAACACAAAUUCUAUGUCGUUUUCAUUGGUUGUAACCCAGGGAUCUACCUAUCCUGACACGAAUUUCAUAGACAAGUUAAUGAGUACAAGGGGGCAUUAUACAAGUUGUAUGAAACAUUCCAUGAAGCGGAGCAAACGUAUAAGUCCUACAGUACAACGCACGUUGGACAAGUUAGUAAUCAGGGCGUAUGACAAUGUAGUACAAUUAUUGCAACUGUAAUAGCUUCAUUUCUGGUAUGAUCAUAAUGUAUACUUGGCUCAGCAUAAAGACGGACCUCUUCCUCACUGUACCAGAAGACAAAUGCUACAGUACUAUACACGCCUACUUGCUCGGACCCACUAGACUAAGCACCUAAUAUUUCAAUCCGAAAACAUAUAUUUUGUGAAUUUGAUUUUUGAA